GCACAUUGGUAUUGAAGGAACUAGAUACUGUUCCGAAAUAUCACUUACUCGAACCGUCCUGACCGCGUAGCUCAGUCGGAAGAGCAUUGGGCUAGUAUUCCAAAGGUCGUAGGUUCGAAUCCCACCGUGGCCGGGCAUAUUUUUCAAGCUCGCCCGGUGUGGAUAUGCACUCAGAGUAACAUCGCAAACAUAUUAUUCACCCGAGUACACAACACCAACACAGAAAAAUUCAUAUUACUAGAACACAUUGGUAUUGAAGGAACUAGAUACUGUUCCGAAAGAUCAC